CCUACGGGUGGCAGCAGUGAGGAAUAUUGGUCAAUGGGCGCGAGCCUGAACCAGCCAAGUCGCGUGAGGGAGGAAGGCCCUACGGGUUGUAAACCUCUUUUGCCGGGGAGCAACGGGCGCCACGUGUGGGGUCACGGAGAGUACCCGGAGAAAAAGCAGCGGCUAACUCCGUGCCAGCAGCCGCGGUAAUAAGGAGGAUGCGAGCGUGAGCGGGAUUUAUGGGGUUGAAAGGGUGCGUAGGCGGAUCGUUAAGUCAGUGGUCCAAUUGAGGGGCUCCACCCCUUCCCGCCAUUGAAACUGGCGUUCUUGAGUGGACGAGAGGUCUGCGGAAUGC
rnacentral:rRNA from 1 species